GUGUAAACACCUAGGUGCCCGCUUGGGCUGCGGCCGGGCCACGCCUCGCGCUCGCGCUCGGGCGUAGCGUCACCCGUUGCUGGGCAGAGAAGCCGGUAUUUGCAUCUCCCAAUCGCUGGCCGCCGGAGCGGGGCGGGGCUCGGGCUGCGGGGCUGGGCGGUCUCGCGGCUGGGAUUGGGGGAGACCGGCGAGAUCGGUUUCUUUUCUUAGGUUGGGGGUUGGAGGAAGGAUAGGGGACGCGAGCCUGCCUCCCAUCUGGCGCUGGACGCUUGUCCCUGCCCCGCGUUGCCUUUUAAAUUUUAGCUUAUUCCGAGACACCUGCCGUCAGCAGACAUUUAUGCAGUGCGUGAUUCUUUCUAAAACAACUCCCUGGAAGACAGGACAUUUAAUUCAGCAAUUUAUUGGCCACCUACUAUGCACCAGGCAGUGAACUUGGAACUUGGGCUACUGGGUUGCAGCAGUGACCGAGACAGUGGUCCCUGUUCUUAGGGAGCAAGUGAGGGCAACAGAAAAGAGCAGGUAAACAAAUAAGAUAAUUUCAGAUAGUUGUGACUGCUGUAAAGAAGAUAAAACUGGGCUGGGUGCGGUGGUUCACACCUGUAAUCCCUGCACUUUGGGACGCCAAGACAGGGGAAUCGCUUGAGCCCAGGAGUUUGAGACCAGCCUGGGUAACAUAGCGAAAUCCCACCUCCACAAAAAUAUAAAAAUUAGCCAGGCAUGGAGGCAAGCACCUGUCAUCUCAGCUACUGGUGAGGCUGAGGUGGGAGAAUCGCUUAAGCCUGAGAUUUUGAGGCUGCAGUGAGCUAUGAUGGUGCCGCUGCACCACAGACUGGGUGAUGGAAAGAAGGGAGGAAGGGGCUGGGCAAGGUGGCUCACGUCUGUAAUCCCAGCACUUUGAGAGGCUGAGGUGGGCGGAUCACUUGAGCCUAGAAGUUCAAGACCAGCAUGGGCAACAUGGCAAAAUCCUGUCUCUACGAAAAAUACAAAACUUAGCCAGGUGUGAUGGCCCGUGCCUUUAGUCCCAGCUACUUGGGAGGCUGAGGCAGGAAGAUCGCUUGAGCCUGGGAAGUUGAGGCUCCAGUGAGCUGUGAUC
rnacentral:lncRNA from 1 species